CCCAGGUCCCGGUGGGCGCCCGCGCGCCAACUCCGCCAGGUCCGAAAGGAAGCAACGGUACGCGAUGUCGUACGUCGCACCGUCAGGCCUGGGACA
rnacentral:SRP_RNA from 1 species